rnacentral:rRNA from 1 species
AACCUUACCAGGUCUUGACAUCCGAUGCUAUUCGUAGACGAUAGAAAGUUACUUCGGUACAUCGGUGACAGGUGGUGCGAUGGUUGUCGUCAGCUCGUGUCGUGAGAUGUUGGGUUAAGUCCCGCAACGAGCGCAACCCCUAUUGUUAGUUGCCAUCAUUCAGUUGGGCACUCUAGCGAGACUGCCGGUAAUAACCGGAGGAAGGUGGGGAUGACGUCAAAUCAUCAUGCCCCUUAUGACCUGGGCUACACACGUGCUACAAUGGUUGGUACAACGAGUUGCGAGUCGGUGACGGCGAGCUAAAUCUCCUAAAAGCCAAUCUCAGUUCGGAUUGUAGGCUGCAACUCGCCUACAUGAAGUCGGAAUCGCUAGUAAUCGCGGAUCAGCACGCCGCGGUGAAUACGUUCCCGGGCCUU